rnacentral:lncRNA from 1 species
CUCGAGCAGAAUUAGUCCAGAGUUCUUAGCAUUUUUUCUGGUGUGCCGUCUUUUAGAAGCUAAACAAAGAUUACUUUCCAAACUUCUGACAUAUUGUUAAUACAAAAUUAUCACCCAAGUUAAUAUUAUUUUAGCAGCAGCCACCACAAGUUUGCCCUGUUCAUCACAUUGCAGCUACUGUGGCUUCCACCCACAAUUUGAAAACCACUGAACUAAGCAUGUUGAUCAGUGAAUUUCGCUUCAUAAGCUAAUCUGCCCUUCCCUGUCUACUCAUUUCUCAACAUUCAGUGUCUAAAAUUAGCUACUAAUAUAUGCGGGUGUUUUACUCUGACACUCAUAAGGCUGAAAUGGUUGCAGUUAAAGCUUUUUCUGACUGUGUAACAAUUGGAAUAACUUGUGAUUUAUUUUCUUCGCUAACCUCUUUCUCUAACUUUGGUAGCUUCGUCUUUGAUCUGAUCAUGUUAAGUCAUUGUCAGAUCAGCAUCUUUAUCUGCUCGUUUUCCAACACUAGGCAUGUUUAACAAGGAUCUCUCAGUGACACCAUGGCACAAAUGCACUCAGACACAUCUACAGCAAGCUGAGAUAAGGAGGGCUGGGUUUCCUUCUUCCUCUGAGCUCCAGGAGGGAAAUUAUAGCCUCUAAAGACACGUUGGGUCACAGAACUGCCUCAACUGCUGUCCACAAUGAUCCUCUACCUGCUGUUCCCUGCUUUUGUCCUCGGUACUGUGACAUCACAAUCAGCCAACAGCACAGCGGGAAAGCUCGAUGAAGUUGGGAGGAACCAAACAUUCAACAGUACACUGAAACCAAAGAACGUGACAUCCACAUUUUAUGAAGAGAACAAGGAGGUCGAGGAUAAACUGCAAAGUAACCAAGUGUCUGUUAUCACAGAAGAUAAAGGUAAGUUCAUGAUUAUCAGUGCCUCUUAUUUACAUGCUGUGCAUAUAGUGCAGAUGAAACAUGAAAAAAUUGUCUGA